GAUGAACGCUGGCGGCGUGCCUAAUACAUGCAAGUCGAGCGAACGGACGAGAAGCUUGCUUCUCUGAUGUUAGCGGCGGACGGGUGAGUAACACGUGGAUAACCUACCUAUAAGACUGGGAUAACUUCGGGAAACCGGAGCUAAUACCGGAUAAUAUUUUGAACCGCAUGGUUCAAAAGUGAAAGACGGUCUUGCUGUCACUUAUAGAUGGAUCCGCGCUGCAUUAGCUAGUUGGUAAGGUAACGGCUUACCAAGGCAACGAUGCAUAGCCGAUCUGAGAGGGUGAUCGGCCACACUGGAACUGAGACACGGUCCAGACUCCUACGGGAGGCAGCAGUAGGGAAUCUUCCGCAAUGGGCGAAAGCCUGACGGAGCAACGCCGCGUGAGUGAUGAAGGUCUUCGGAUCGUAAAACUCUGUUAUUAUGGAAGAACAUAUGUGUAAGUAACUGUGCACAUCUUGACGGUACCUAAUCAGAAAGCCACGGCUAACUACGUG
rnacentral:rRNA from 1 species